rnacentral:tRNA from 1 species
ACCUGGCUGGCUCAGUUGGUAGAGCAUGCGACUCUUGAUCUCGGGGUCAUGAGUUCAAGCCCCAUGUUGGGUG